rnacentral:rRNA from 1 species
AGAGUUUGAUCAUGGCUCAGAUUGAACGCUGGCGGCAGGCCUAACACAUGCAAGUCGGGCGGAAACGAUGGAAGCUUGCUUCCAGGCGUCGAGCGGCGGACGGGUGAGUAACGCGUAGGAAUCUGCCUGGUAGUGGGGGAUAGCCCAGAGAAAUUUGGAUUAAUACCGCAUACGCACCAGCUCUUUCGGGAGCGGUGGAAAGCAGGGGACCUUUCGGGGCCUUGCGCUAUCAGAUGAGCCUGCGUCGGAUUAGCUGGUUGGUGGGGUAAAGGCCUACCAAGGCAACGAUCCGUAGCUGGUCUGAGAGGAUGAUCAGCCACACUGGGACUGAGACACGGCCCAGACUCCUACGGGAGGCAGCAGUGGGGAAUAUUGGACAAUGGGCGCAAGCCUGAUCCAGCCAUGCCGCGUGUGUGAAGAAGGCUCUAGGGUUGUAAAGCACUUUCAGCAAGGAGGAAAGGGGUUCCGUUAAUACCGGAAUCCUGUGACGUUACUUGCAGAAGAAGCACCGGCUAACUCC